AGAGUUUGAUCCUGGCUCAGGAUGAACGCUGGCGGCGUGCUUAACACAUGCAAGUCGAACGAAGCACUUUGGACAGAUUCUUCGGAUGAAGUCCUUAGUGACUGAGUGGCGGACGGGUGAGUAACGCGUGGGUAACCUGUCUCAUACAGGGGGAUAACAGUUAGAAAUGGCUGCUAAUACCGCAUAAGCGCACGGUACUGCAUGGUACAGUGUGAAAAACUCCGGUGGUAUGAGAUGGACCCGCGUUGGAUUAGCUAGUUGGCAGGGUAACGGCCUACCAAGGCGACGAUCCAUAGCCGGCCUGAGAGGGUGGACGGCCACAUUGGGACUGAGACACGGCCCAGACUCCUACGGGAGGCAGCAGUGGGGAAUAUUGCACAAUGGGGGAAACCCUGAUGCAGCGACGCCGCGUGAGCGAAGAAGUAUUUCGGUAUGUAAAGCUCUAUCAGCAGGGAAGAAAAUGACGGUACCUGACUAAGAAGCCCCGGCUAACUACGUGCCAGCAGCCGCGGU
rnacentral:rRNA from 1 species